UGGGGAAUCUUCCGCAAUGGACGAAAGUCUGACGGAGCAACGCCGCGUGAGUGAAGAAGGUUUUCGGAUCGUAAAACUCUGUCUUUUGGGGCGAACGUGAGUAUGGUGAACAAUCAUAGUCAGUGACGGUACCAAAGGAGGAAGCCACGGCUAACUACGUGCCAGCAGCCGCGGUAAUACGUAGGUGGCAAGCGUUGUCCGGAAUUAUUGGGCGUAAAGAGCGCGUAGGCGGGAUAGUCAGUCUGUUGUAAAAGUGCGGGGCUCAACCCCGUGAUGGCAAUGGAAACAGCUAUUCUUGAGUGCAGGAGAGGAAAGUGGAAUUCCCAGUGUAGCGGUGAAAUGCGUAGAUAUUGGGAGGAACACCAGUGGCGAAGGCGACUUUCUGGACUGUGUCUGACGCUGAGGCGCGAAAGCCAGGGGAGCGAACGGGAUUAGAUACCCCGGUAGUCCUGGCCGUAAACGAUGGGUACUAGGUGUGGGAGGUAUCGACCCCUUCCGUGCCGGAGUUAACGCAAUAAGUACCCCGCCUGGGGAGUACGGUCGCAAGACUGAAACUCAAAGGAAUUGACGGGGUCAUAGCUG
rnacentral:rRNA from 1 species